GGUCAGUCUGACUGUAGUGUGUUUCAUAGUGUACAGGUCAGUCUGACUGUAGUGUGUUUCAUAGUGUACAGGUCAGUCUGACUGUAGUGUGUUUCAUAGUUUACAGGUCAGUCUGACUGUAGAGUGUUUCAUAGUGUACAGGUCAGUCUGACUGUAGUGUGUUUCAUAGUGUACAGGUCAGUCUGACUGUAGUGUGUUUCAUAG